rnacentral:siRNA from 1 species
UAUGAGUGUAUUUUUGUUUCU